rnacentral:pre_miRNA from 1 species
AAUGGUGCCCUCCACAAGCGAGGUAUAGAGUUCCUACGCUUUAUUUGAUCGUAGGAACUUCAUACCGUGCUCUUGGAGCACUCAA